rnacentral:rRNA from 1 species
UAUUAAAGUUGUUGCAGUUAAAAAGCUCGUAGUUGGAUUUCGGAAGGUCUUUAGUGGUCCGCCCCUUCGGGGAGCGGGUCACUGGCCUCCUAUGUUCCUAACGGUCCUCAUCCGCGAGGGUGGGGAAUCAACCGCUAGGAUCGUUUACUUUGAGGAAAUUAGAGUGUUCAAAGCAGGCGUAACUCGCCUCCGAAUACGUUAGCAUGGGAUAAUGGAAUACGACUUCGGUCUUGUUUCGUUGGUUUCGCUUGGCUGAAGUAAUGAUUGAUAGGGACAGUUGGGGGCAUUAGUAUUUAGUUGUCAGAGGUGAAAUUCUAGGAUUUACUAAAGACUGACCAAUGCGAAAGCAUUUGCCAAGGAUGUUUUCAUUAAUCAAGAACGAAAGUAGGGGGAUCGAAGACGAUCAGAUACCGUCGUAGUCUCUACCGUAAACUAUGCCGACCAGGGAUCCGGAGAGUUUGCAUGGAUGACUCCCCGGGCACCUUGUGAGAAAUCAUAAGUGUUUGGGUUUUGGGGGGAGUAUGGUCGCAAGGCUGAAACUUAAAGGAAUUGACGGAAGGGCACCACCAGGAGUGGAACCU